GACCUCAUAGAUGAAUAGAAUGAGCAAAAGUUGCAGCACAGUGUGUCACCAGAGAGGAACAGAAUAUCCUUGCUGUGCCAAGAAAGAAAAGACCAUGGAUCUACUAGUUGCAGAUUUCAGCAGUAAUGCCAAGGGGGCAAGAAGUGACCAGCAGAACAAUUAGGCCGUGGCAGCAGAAGCCAACUACAACCCAUGUUCCAAUCUAUGACCUCCCUCUCCUGCUGGUACAAGGAUAUGGACUAGCCUAGAUGAUGAUGGCUCACCAAUUUCCUUGCAAGGGCAAGAGCUGAUAAUCAACUGACUAAUGAGGAUUGACUUCUACAAUUGAUGAGCAUGGAAUUGGAUGUGCCUAAAUCAACAGAAGAGGGAUUUUGAUGUCAUCACACUGUAGCCCCAGAAGACAGAACGCUCAAAGGUGUCAAUGGGCAGAAUUUGUAGAUGACAUACAGCAUCCAAUGGAUUACUCCUAUUCAGUAUUCCUUAGAGCAAAGGAUGCAAUGUCAAGCAAGUUGUGAUACCUCAACUAUCUACAAUUUAACACCAAGGAAAGAACACUGUUUGGAGAAAUGAGAAAGAUUAUCAUCAGUGUCUUUCAGAAGUCAUCAAAGGAAGAAAAGGAGAAAAGAGAGGAGAAAGCAGAAAGGAAGAACCAGCUCAGGGCAGAGUGCGCUGGGGCAGCAAAUGUCAGAGGAUGCAGAAAGAAGUCAAGUGUAUCACUCCUUGGAAUCUAUUGAUCUGGAGUCUGGGAAGUUCAAGAGCAUGGCACCAACAUCUGGCAAGGGCUUUCAUGCUGCAUCAUCUCAUGGAGGAAAAUAAAAGGGCAAGAGGCUGGAUGCUCCUGUGAAGUACGUCUUCUAUCUACUUGCUAUCUUUGCAAUUCCUUCAUGCUACAAUGAGAGAUAGAGUUUAAACCUGAAAACAUUCUUGGAAAAGGAACCUUCAUUAAUUCAAAUAUACCACAAGAUUCACCACCAUCACUACUCUAAGUAUUUUUCUUCUUGAGAAAGAGAAGGAGAGGGAAAGCAAGGAAGAGGAAGAGAAAGAGAAAUGGAUAAAAACAUGGUCAAGUAGAAGAGUCUGUGAUUUCAGGUAAAUCCAGAUUUGGAGCUUGAAUGACUCAAAUGCUUUGCCUACAUUGAUCCUACAUUCAGGCUGCUUACAUAUCUCUUGGCUUCUCUGAGAACCAGAUUGUCACCACUUAAAGUGUCUUCCAGAGUCCUCACGAGUAUCAGAGAAGGCAUAAUCCGUACACGUGGCUUCAUUUAAAAUGAAAAUAUCAAGCAGUGUCAUUUUCACAAGUAUCCCCACACUGUCUGAGGCUGAAAAGAAGAGUGUAGCUAUGCACACUGCAGUUAGAAGAAAAUUUCAGCUCAAUUGGAGGAUGUAAAGAUUGAAAUAUCACUGCUCCUAGUUCUGAUGCAAAAUUGAAAAGAGUGCACUGGGUCUUCAAAUGGCAUAUUGACAAGGAGAAAGAGGAAAGGAUGCCCCAGGACAGCCUGGGGGUCAAGGCUGGGCUCAGGCAUGCCUGGACAAGCCAUGCAAGUUGUCUCUGGACUUGAACCACAUAUCAGAGGAGCUAUUUGAGGAGCCACAUCAGCAUACCUGCUUCUGUGGGCCCCCAGGCUGUGGUGCUCAGCCCUUGCACUAUGAAACACUUUUUUUUCCAGAAGCCAAAGCUUUGAGCAUCUCCUCCCAUAUAGAGAGUGCAUAUGUUUACGUCCAUGUCUUUCGCCAUGUGAACGCAUGCAACCACCACCUCAAAUAUCAUAAAUCCUCUCUCUCCCCCUUUCUGUCUGCCUGUUUAUCUACAAUCUGUCUAUUUAAAUUCUUUUUAAACAAGAAGGGAAUAUCUUUAUGCCUGUUUGUAGGGAUAUUCUACAUCCAUCUGUUAUUUACAUCAUUCGUUUUCCUGAGGUGUCUCCAACAAAUCCUGGCUGGAUGCACUGUAUGUGUUAUUAAUAAAACAGCUGUAAAAAUA